rfam:Glossina morsitans morsitans, isolate Yale, WGS project CCAG01000000 data, contig: ctg10021938
GGGGGUAGUUUUUAGAACGUAAGCGCCAUGGGUGGCAAAUUGUGCAUGCUGCUACUAAGAACCAGCAGUAUCUUUUGAAGAUUUUCUACCUCC